rnacentral:rRNA from 1 species
GCACCCUUGUUACCAGUUGCUACCAUUUAGUUGAGCACUCUGGUGAGACCGCCUCGGAUAACGGGGAGGAAGGCGGGGAUGACGUCAAGUCCUCAUGGCCUUUAUGUCCAGGGCUACACACGUGCUACAAUGGCCGGUACAAACCGUUGCAACCCCGCGAGGGUGAGCUAAUCGGAUAAAGCCGGCCUCAGUUCGGAUUGGAGUCUGCAACUCGACUCCAUGAAGCUGGAAUCGCUAGUAAUCGCGGAUCAGCAUGCCGCGGUGAAUACGUUCCCGGGCCUUGUACACACCGCCCGU